rnacentral:rRNA from 1 species
GAUGAACGCUGGCGGCGUGCCUAAUACAUGCAAGUCGAGCGAACAGACGAGGAGCUUGCUCCUCUGACGUUAGCGGCGGACGGGUGAGUAACACGUGGAUAACCUACCUAUAAGACUGGGAUAACUUCGGGAACCCGGAGCUAAUACCGGAUAAUAUAUUGAACCGCAUGGUUCUAUAGUGAAAGACGGUUUUGCUGUCACUUAUAGAUGGAUCCGAGCCGCAUUAGCUAGUUGGUAAGGUAACGGCUUACCAAGGCGACGAUGCGUAGCCGACCUGAGAGGGUGAUCGGCCACACUGGAACUGAGACACGGUCCAGACUCCUACGGGAGGCAGCAGUAGGGAAUCUUCCGCAAUGGGCGAAAGCCUGACGGAGCAACGCCGCGUGAGUGAUGAAGGUCUUCGGAUCGUAAAACUCUGUUAUAAGGGAAGAACAAAUGUGUAAGUAACUAUGCACGUCUUGACGGUACCUAAUCAGAAAGCCACGGCUAACUACGUG